AUGUAUCAAAGUUGAGAUUUUUAUCAGUUUCUAGUGGAUUCCUGCAUACCCAUUUUGCAGAACCAAAAAAAGUUCAAGAUUUUGAUGUUUAUGGACACAGAAUACCAACCCCACCUCAGUUUUCAUCUUUAUGGUGUAAUCAAUGGAAAAAAUUGAAUCUUUUUCAUUUUUAUGGACACCCUUUUUCUACAGUGGUGGAAAAUGGGGAUAACGAAUUAGAAGUUUGUGA
rnacentral:misc_RNA from 1 species